CCUACGGGGUGCAGCAGUGAGGAAUAUUGGUCAAUGGACGAGAGUCUGAACCAGCCAAGUAGCGUGAAGGAUGACUGACCUAUGGGUUGUAAACUUCUUUUAUAUGGGAAUAAAACGUUCCACGUGUGGGUUUUUGUAUGUACCCUAUGAAUAAGCAUCGGCUAACUCCGUGCCAGCAGCCGCGGUAAUACGGAGGAUACGAGCGUUAUCCGGAUUUAUUGGGUAUAAAGGGUGCGUAGGUGGAUUGUUAAGUCAGCGGUGAAAGUUUGUGGCUCAACCGUAAAAUUGCAGUUGAAACUGGCAGUCUUGAGUAUAGUAGAGGUGGGCGGAAUGCGUGGUGUAGCGGUGAAAUGCUUAGAUAUCACGAAGAACUCCGAUUGCGAAGGCAGUUCACUAGACUGCAACUGACACUGAGGCUCGAAAGUGUGGGUAUCAAACAGGAUUAGAUACCCCUGUAGUC
rnacentral:rRNA from 1 species